ensembl:lncRNA
GUGAAGCCAAACAGCGGCUGUUGAAGCAACCAAGAAAUUAGCAAGAAGCUUUUUGUGACCUUUCCCACUCCAUUGAUACAGCCACACACAGUUAAGAUCUAUCCAGGGCACAAGCAUCCCGCCCCCUGGCCAGAGGAUGAUGGUUUACUCCGGGGUCCUCCGUCCUGGACCCUCCUUCCUUUACUAUUCGUGGGCCCACGGGGAGCUGAGUAACAGAGAGAAGACAGAAAUCAGCCUAGCUGCUCACUGAAGAUCAGGAAAUGCUGUUGACAUCAUGACAUCUGCCAGCACCUUGGGGAAAGGAUAUAACCCCUUCUCAAUGCUAUUUCAAAGGACUUCAUUUGAACAAGGCUAUGGAUUAGUCAAAACCCCUUCUCCCUUGGUGGCAUUUUAUCACUGCCAUUCACUUCAGUCGUGCCAUCACUAUAGCAAUCAGCACCCCACAACAAGCCAGGGCCACUGGGAGAGAUGAGAGAAGCCAGCCCAGUGUAGCCUUCAGUGUAACUUCAGGAUUGUUCUUUCAUCUUCCCGGAAGUUUAAGCAUCCUAUAAUAUUCACCACUCACCCAAGAGCAUCACGAGGUCUCAAAUGAAUCUGGGCUUGGCUGAUUCAAUCAACAUCUUACCACAUCAACCUGCCCCAUGUUGAGGGACCCGAGAAUCAUCAACCCAACUGCCAUUCAUUUACUGAUUCUUCAAAUAUGUACUGAAAGCCUAAUGGUUACAACAGUUCUCACGAGGCUGGGGGUACAGGAGCAGACCAAAGAGUGGGUCCUUGCCCUCAUAGAGCUAGGAAUCUAGAGCAGGGAGCCAAACACAAAGUGCUCAUCAGCGUGGGCAAGGCAGAGGGUUUUCUCCAGAGAACAAGAGGGCAGAGAAGCCAAAUGGAAGAAUUUCUUCUUAUUUUGCAAGAAGAAAGAUAGGGCAAAUUAUUCCAAGACCAAGCAAAUGGCAGCUUUCCCCCUACUGAAGAGUUUAGAAAAAGUAAAAUUAUUAUGUUAAACAGAAAACUGUGUUAACAGUAGCCAGUUCUGGAGAGCAAAGGAGAAGGAAAUAUCACCCCCAGACUGCUGUUCUGUACCUGGAGACCCCAGAAUAGGGCAGCCCCAGCUCUCACAAGAGAGUGGUCCGAACAGCCCUCCCCCAGAGCCUGCACAGAGGCACCAUCCUGCCCAGCAUGUUUGCCCUCACAUGCCCCCCACAGGCUUCCUUCUCCUCCUCGGUCCUCCCAAGCUCUGUGCAUCCGUGCAUUCACUCAAGCUGUUCCCUGCCCCUGCAAUGACCUUCAUCCCUUCUCUUCCAAAUGCCAGCUCACUCCAGGUUCAACUCAGCACCAUCCCGUAAAACAGCUUCUGGUCAGUCCUCUCACCCCUCUGACUGCGGUGCCCCGGUCCCUCCUCUGUAGCAGAGCUAUUUGUGUACACAUGCCUGGCUGACCCGCCCAGGGGCCAAGGGCACCCAGGACAGGGCGUGCAGAGGACAGAGAAGGGGGUGGUAUGUGGGAGGCCCACUCCCUGCCAGGAGCAUCAUCUCCACCCAUCCUCGCGUGGGCAGCCCAGAACAGGCAGAUGCAUGGCCACAGCCCAGUGGCCAGCAGCCGGGUGUCCGCGUGACACUCAAGAAAGAGGCUGGCCUGAGGGCAACAGAGCUCCAACUGACGGCAGACCUCCUUCUACUCUCCCAUGCUGCCGGAUCUCAGGUGAUGCUCAAUGAAUAUCUGAUGGAUGAGCGAGCGUCUGAACAAAGGAAUGAACACCCUGUCCUCUCACCCAUGUGCUGGCUCCCGCUGAACACACAGGCCAUGCUGGGCUUCGAGUUGCCAGGGAGAGAAGCUCUGCUGGUGCCUUGAGCAGUGUCGUUACCCGAGGGAGAGCCUUUAUCCAAACACUGAGCUGGCUUCUUAACUCUGUCUCCUAGAGAACUUUCUAGACCCUUCCUCCAACACUGCAAAUGGGAGCCCAGUUUUAUGAGGUUCUAAAUCUGUACUCAGUGAUAGCCUGGAAUCAGCAAGUAUCAGAUUCAAAAGCCCUUCCAGGUCUAAUGGGCCAGCCCUCUGCUCUCAGAGAAGAGAGGGGUUGGUUGCUCAGUCAUCUCCAACUCUUUGCAACCCCGUGGACUGGAACCUGCCAGGCUCCUCUGUCUAUGGGAUUCUCC